GAUGAACGCUGGCGGCGUGCUUAACACAUGCAAGUCGAACGAGAAGUGGAGACGGAAACCUUCGGGCGGAAGACUUUAUUUCGAGUGGCGGACGGGUGAGUAACGCGUGGGUAACCUGCCUCAUACAGGGGGAUAACAGUUGGAAACGACUGUUAAUACCGCAUAAGACCACAGCACCGCAUGGUGCGGGGGUAAAAACUCCGGUGGUAUGAGAUGGACCCGCGUUCGAUUAGCCAGUUGGCGGGGUAACGGCCCACCAAAGCGACGAUCGAUAGCCGAUCUGAGAGGAUGACCGGCCACAUUGGGACUGAGGCACGGCCCAAACUCCUACGGGAGGCAGCAGUGGGGAAUAUUGCACAAUGGGGGAAACCCUGAUGCAGCGACGCCGCGUGAGUGAAGAAGUAUUUCGGUAUGUAAAGCUCUAUCAGCAGGGAAGAAAAUGACGGUACCUGAGUAAGAAGCCCCGGCUAACUACGUG
rnacentral:rRNA from 1 species